UACAGAGGGUGCGAGCGUUGUUCGGAAUUAUUGGGCGUAAAGGGCGCGUAGGCGGUGCCACAAGUCACUUGUGAAAUCCUCGGGCUUAACUCCGAAACUGCAUUCGAUACUGCCGUGCUUGAGGACUGGAGAGGAGACUGGAAUUUACGGUGUAGCGGUGAAAUGCGUAGAUAUCGUAAGGAAGACCAGUGGCGAAGGCGGGUCUCUGGACAGUUCCUGACGCUGAGGCACGAAGGCCAGGGGAGCAAACGGG
rnacentral:rRNA from 1 species